rnacentral:rRNA from 1 species
UACGUAGGGUGCAAGCGUUAAUCGGAAUUACUGGGCGUAAAGCGUGCGCAGGCGGUUUUGUAAGUCUGUCGUGAAAGCCCCCGGCUCAACCGGGGGAGGGUCGUCGGGGGACCGCACCGCUUGAGGGCGGUAGGGGCUGGUGGAAUGCCUGGUGUAGUGGUGAAAUGCGUAGAGAUCAGGAGGAACACCGGUGGCGAAGGCGGGGUCUCUGGGGCCGAUAUCGACGCUGAGGAGCGAAAGCGUGGGGGAGCGAACAGG